CCUACGGGAGGCAGCAGUGAGGAAUAUUGGUCAAUGGGCGUGAGCCUGAACCAGCCAAGUCGCGUGAGGGAUGACGGCCCUACGGGUUGUAAACCUCUUUUAUCAGGGAAUAAAGUGCGGCACGUGUGCCUCUUUGUAUGUACCCUAUGAAAAAGCAUCGGCUAACUCCGUGCCAGCAGCCGCGGUAAUACGGAGGAUUCGAGCGUUAUCCGGAUUUAUUGGGUUUAAAGGGUGCGUAGGCGGCCUUUUAAGUCAGCGGUGAAAGUCUGGGGCUCAACCCCAGAAUUGCCGUUGAAACUGGGAGCCUUGAGUACGUGUGAGGUAGGCGGAAUGCGUGGUGUAGCGGUGAAAUGCUUAGAUAUCACGCAGAACUCCGAUUGCGAAGGCAGCAUAC
rnacentral:rRNA from 1 species